GUGAGUCAUCGAAUCUUUGAACGCACAUUGCGCCCGCCAGUAUUCUGGCGGGCAUGCCUGUCCGAGCGUCAUUUCAACCCUCGAACCCCUCCGGGGGAUCGGCGUUGGGGAUCGGGACCCCUCACACGGGUGCCGGCCCCUAAAUCCAGUGGCGGUCUCGCCGCAGCCUCUCCUGCGCAGUAGUUUGCACAACUCGCACCGGGAGCGCGGCGCGUCCACGUCCGUAAAACACCCAACUUUCUGAAAUGUUGACCUCGGAUCAGGUAGGAAUACCCGCUGAACUUAAGCAUAUCAAUAAGCGGAGGA
rnacentral:misc_RNA from 1 species